UUUCGUAAUAAUUGUUAAUUUUAGUGUAGUUAUAAACGCGAAAAAUUUGUGGAAUCCGUUUCGCGCUCCUAUAUUGAAAACCCAUGUUUAUUUUCCGAUAAACGAAAAACAGCAGGAAUUAAUUAACCUAAUAAAGGUUCAAUAAUUACAACAACAAAAUCAUCUGCUGCGUAAACAUGCAACGUUGCGAAAAUCCCAAUGCAUCAAAAUACUCCGUCCAAAAAUUCACCCCCAACAUUAAAAAAAUACAAUGAAAAAGAAGAACUCAAAAAAAAUAAACAUCAACACGUCACACUCUCCUCACACACACAUGCCCACACAUACACACGUGUUUGUUCAGAGUUUUAAAAACGCGCAUUCCAAAAUAAUAAUACUCAAUCAAUGAUAGCAAUGAGCCAAUAACCAAAUGGGACGUGGACGUUACAACCAGGGGGAGGGGGAUACGUGACAACCCUGUUUACAAAUGUUGCGAUUGAUUCUUCCAAUGUUGUUUGAACCGCACUGAUAUGUCCACGCUCCGAUCUAGUGCCCCGUGGGAGUGCAUAAGUGACAGUUAUCUAACUUACCGACGGACGCCGCAGGACGCAUCUUAGAUCAGCGUCGUCUCAGGAACCAAAUAUCUUCAUUGGAUCUAAACAAACCACCAUCUCGCAUCUUGCAUUAUUAUAAAUAAUUUACUCAACUCGUAAUUAUUGUUAAUGAUUUGUAUUU